ensembl:lncRNA
CCCUCUACUUGACAUCAAAAUUAAAUGUUAGUGCGGGCCUCACGUUGUUGUCGAACACACAUUUCUGCUGAGUCGCUUGCCACUCUUUUUUAUCACUUGUGGUAGUGUGACCAGAUGUCCCGACAAAAGCCAAAGGACGCUAAAAUGUCCUGGUUUCCACCAACGACUAUGAAUUGUCCCCUGUUGUCAGCGAUUACAUAGCCAACGUUAUCUAAUUCUAGCUUUGGUCAGUUGUGAUCUUUUUUGUUGAAUACUUGAUGCGGCCCAGCCUGACCCAGACUCUACCUCCAGCGGCCCCCAGGCCACAACAGAUGACGAACCUGCAGAGCCAAUGGGAUGACAACAGUCCAUUACAUCCGUAUCAGAUGACAUGACACACAAUAUCUAUUGUGGCCUGCUCGGAGAGGCCUGGUACCCAUCUCCUGACGCUGGGGGAGAACAUGACCCGGGUACCCUGCAUCAAAUACGGGAUCUUUAAUCACUGGUACCCUUCUUUCGGAUGCACUGAAGAGGAUGUGCCCUACUGCUUUUCAACAUGGGUUAAUGGCUAGUUUACUUUUAGGCUAUGGUUGCUUGCGUACCAAGUUACGCACUUGAAACGCU